ACGAACGCUGGCGGCGUGCCUCAUACAUGCAAGUAGAACGCUGAAGGAGGAGCUUGCUCUUCUGGAUGAGUUGCGAACGGGUGAGUAACGCGUAGGUAACCUGCCUGUUAGCGGGGGAUAACUAUUGGAAACGAUAGCUAAUACCGCAUAAGAGUAGAUGUUGCAUGACAUUUACUUAAAAGGUGCAAUUGCAUCACUACCAGAUGGACCUGCGUUGUAUUAGCUAGUUGGUGGGGUAACGGCUUACCAAGGCGACGAUACAUAGCCGACCUGAGAGGGUGAUCGGCCACACUGGGACUGAGACACGGCCCAGACUCCUACGGGAGGCAGCAGUAGGGAAUCUUCGGCAAUGGACGGAAGUCUGACCGAGCAACGCCGCGUGAGUGAAGAAGGUUUUCGGAUCGUAAAGCUCUGUUGUAAGAGAAGAACGAGUGUGAGAGUGGAAAGUUCACACUGUGACGGUAUCUUACCAGAAAGGGACGGCUAACUACGUG
rnacentral:rRNA from 1 species